CCACACCCGCCGCCUGGGAAACCUAAGACAGAGUCAGCUCUUACCUCUUUUAGACGUCGGCGUUUCAAGCCAGCAUCCACUUUUACCACACCAAGGUCAGGGAGAUCCAGUGUAACCACUGUCAAGCCUUCAACAAGACCCACCACCAAACCUGCCACCAAAUCUACCACCAAACCUGCCAAGCUUCAGUGAUAUUGUUUGCAGCUCUGUGUGCAUUCUCUUACACUCUUUGGUUGCAUUUCAUGGAUGUAGUUUUGUUGUCGCCAAGGUGCAGGAGGGUUGUCAAGUGGUGCCCCCUGGUGAAAAGGCAAGGCAAGGAAUGGGUCACCAUAUCAUUAUCAUAUCAUGGCAGGGAAGUGGCAGCACAGUGUGGCACCAAGGACUCUGAAGCGGUGUUAACUGCAGUCACCCCUCUCAAAUUCAUAUCAGUGUACACUGUGACUGAAGACCCCCCUCUCCUCUCUCCCAGGCCUUACUCAUGUCUGGCUCCCUGUCAGCAUUAACUGUUGGCAACCCCUUCUCUCCAUGCUUUACUAUCUUUAAUGAGAUAUUAGAGCUAUGCCACCCCUACACAGUGUAAAAGCUGAUUCAGCAUGUCAACUGUUAUCAACAUAUCCAUGAGGUAUCCUGUAGAACAAGACUGUCUGCUGUAUCAAAUAGUGCCAGUGUCCAUGAUGAAGAAAACCGGGUAUUGAACGAAGUUAACAAGGACAGCAGUGGUUGAGAAAGCUCAUGGACAUUUAACUACAAUGUUACUCAUUGUUAUUGAGUUAUUUCUUGACUGGAAAUCGAAGUGCUUUAUUACAGAUAGCACACUCUUAGUGAACUGUAGUUAAGGUUCUAAUAUAUGAAAGUUGUUUAAUAAAACUAUACCAGGCUGUUUUAUUAAAUGAUUCAGAUAUUGUGAGAUCUGUGAUAAGAAGUGAAUACACAUAUAAACCAUAUCCAGAUUGCUAUCCAUAUCAGUUGUUAUCAGUGAAAUUCCCAUGGUUUGUCAAGUAGCCUGUGUUGAAACAAACUUUUUGCUGUGGAACAAAAUGAAUAUGAACAGAAUAUAUUUUUAUUUAUUUAUUUAUUUAUUAUUAUAAUUUUGACAAAUGAGCAAAGAAACUGUUUCAAAGAGAUGAGUUUUUAAUUUAGUCCGAUAAGUAAAAACGAACAAAAUUGAUUUUGCUUCAUUUUAUAGACGAUGUUCUGGUCAUAUUUUAUAAGGAGCAAUUCUUUUGUCGUAUAAAAAAAGAAUCUUUUUUGUAUAAAAAAAGCUGUGUUUAUUUUAAGAUAAAGACUAUAAAUGAAUCAUGUUGAUACAGAAUUGUGAGACGGUGCUAGAGUAUGUGAAUGUUGCCGUUACAGUAUGGCUGUUCGUUUUGUCUCCACUUCGUUAAUUGAAGGUGCAAUCCAGUAUUCGAACUUUACUUAAUGAAGCUCAAGCUUUUGUUGGUUUCUGAGCAAGUCCAUUUUUUACCUGUGGUCACACACUAUUGAAACGACCUCUAUGUAUUACUUAUGAUAUUCAUUACAUUCAAGUCAGUUCUGUGUAUCAGUUAGGUGUCAGCAUUUACAAAGACUGCUAAUAAUACUCAAACAUGUGUGCCAUAUGUAGAAUUAAAAUAACUUUUGUAUUUUUUUCUUUUUAAGUUCCCAACAAAAAAUUAUGCAUGUCUCUAAGAAAUUUUCUAUUUUGUUUUAUGUACCAACAUUAUAAAUCACUCCUGGUUGUGAUUUUGAAAGGAAAGGUUAGAAGUUUGUCUCAAGCCCAUGUUCUUUUUGACCACAUCCAAUGAAAAUCUUGCCUUUCGACUGGAGGUAAUAAUGAUUGUAUCAUUUUAGGUAAUUUGCCGAAGUAGGAAUGGGCAUUGAAACUUUGUUCCAACUGCCUUAACCUGUAUUAAAACUGAUUUUUUUAUUUUUUGUUCAAGAAGUAAUUGUCAUAAUGCGUCAAAAAGAGUGAUAGAAAAAAGACUGAAGUGCUUUCAUCUUUUUUCUCGUCCGUCCGUAAAUUUGCAAGUGUUAUGUACAUGUAGCAUAGGUUCUUGGUUCUCUGAGCUAAGAUAAUCUCCUGUAACUAGUCGAAGCUCAACUUAUGCAAAUCUGCAUUCUCAUUUCUAUCUUUUUCUUAACAAUUUUGUGAACGUUUUUUUUUCAAAGUGAAUGAAUCGGUGCGCUUCCAAGCUUAAUUCGUUUUUGAAAGAACUUACAUCGUUUCUCGUACAGUAUGUAUUCAAAUAUAUAUGUAUAUGUCAGAUAUU